AUUGAACGCUGGCGGCAGGCCUAACACAUGCAAGUCGAGCGGAUGAAGGGAGCUUGCUCCUGGAUUCAGCGGCGGACGGGUGAGUAAUGCCUAGGAAUCUGCCUGGUAGUGGGGGGCAACGUUUCGAAAGGAACGCUAAUACCGCAUACGUCCUACGGGAGACAGCAGGGACCCUUCGGGCCUUGCGCUUCCAAAUGAGCCUAGGUCGGAUUAGCUAGUUGGUGAGGUAAUGGCUCACCAAGGCGACGAUCCGUAACUGGUCUGAGAGGAUGAUCAGUCACACUGGAACUGAGACACGGUCCAGACUCCUACGGGAGGAAGCAGUGGGGAAUAUUGGACAAUGGGCGAAAGCCUGAUCCAGCCGUGCCGCGUGUGUGAAGAAGGUCUUUGGAUUGUAAAGCACUUUAAGUUGGGAGGAAGGGUUGUAGAUUAAUACUCUGCAAUUUUGACGUUACCGACAGAAUAAGCACCGGCUAACUCUGUGCCAGCAGCCGCCGUAACAC
rnacentral:rRNA from 1 species